rnacentral:rRNA from 1 species
UACGAAGGGGGCGAGCGUUGUUCGGAAUCACUGGGCGUAAAGAGUGCGUAGGCGGUAAGGAAAGUUAGGAGUGAAAGCCCCAGGCUCAACUUGGGAAUUGCUUUUAAUACUCCCUUACUCGAAUUCGGGAGAGGAUAGCGGAAUUGUCAGUGUAGCAGUGAAAUGCGUAGAUAUUGACAGGAACACCAGUGGCGUAAGCGGCUAUCUGGCCCGACAUUGACGCUGAGGCACGAAAGCGUGGGGAUCAAACAGG